rnacentral:lncRNA from 1 species
GUCCGCGCGCGCGGGGCGGCCGCGGCGGUGAGCCUGCGCGUCAGGGCCGCCGGCCUCUCCUUGGCUGUUGGAGGUGAUAGGGGUCGAGGGGAGGGAAAAAGGGGCUGGCGUCAGCCGCCCCUGUGAGGUGGCCGUAGCGUGGACGAGUAAGAAGGGUUGAGUAAAGUGGACAAACACCUGGUUAGGAGAAGAGGGCAGGCCCGCAGCCGCCCUCCGGAGGAGGACUCGGGGCCUCGCGGGCGCCGGAGGAGGUUCCUGGGCCUCGGAGGGCCGCCCCGGCGCGCCGCCCCGGCGCGAGCGGGCGCGGGCGGGGGAGGGGAAGUGAGAGGUUGUUUAUGACCGGGGACUAAUCUCCUCCGCGAGUCCCAGCGCUCCCUCUGGGGAGUGCGGUUGAGGGGCUGUCCUCGCACGGAGCCUCGCUCGGCCUCGGGGGAGCCACGAGAGGUGGGAGUUGGACCCGCAGCGGGCCAGGAGCCCUGUCAUUGGAGGACCCGCCAAAAAGGAAGCAAACCCUCUUUUUCUUUAUCCAACCCCAAAUAGCUAGGGCCUAGGGGGAAGACUCACAUAUCGAUAAAUGGUUUGUUGCCCGUUUUAUUCUCUGGGAAAUACAACUGAUCUUACCAAAGAAAUAACCUGUCUCUUGCCGUGUUUACUUAGAGCCAUAGAAUACCUGUUUCAGAGCUGAAGGGGACCUGAGCCCAUGAUAAUCCAUUACCUCGUGAGAAAGCGGAAAAACUGACUUCAGCUUGCCCAGAUGGCGCAGAGAAUGGGUUUCCCGUAACCCCGCCUGUGUCUUUCCUUCAGCCUCGUCCCAAAUGCCGUGGGAGGGAAGGCACUCUCUGUCAAGCUGCUGUCACCUUACCUGAAGUAAGGAGUCCACGCCUGCAUGUCCGAGGAAAACAGUUUUCUCAAACACAUUAGUUGAAAAACUGAAGACGCUGCCUAAAAUACAAGCUGAGUUAGAGACAGCCCUUGUAAGACUAGAAAAAGAAAUGGAAACUAAGUAACAUGAAUUAACAUAGUCCAGGGUCACAAAGCAACAUGGAACAAGAACCUGGAUCUGAAUUCAGAGGCAGAAUGCUGGGAAAGGCCUUGUGAGGACAUAACCAGGAAGAGAGUCCUCACCAGAACCUGACCAUACCUGCACCCUGAUCUCAAGCUUCCAGCUUCCAGAACCAUGAGAAAUCAAUGUUUGUUGUUUUAGCCACCCAGUCUACAGAAAUUUGUUAUAGCCACCCUAGCUGACUACCACAUUGGACAUCACAGCAAACACUACAACCACAAGUCCAGUUGGCUCCACAAGCUUGAGCUCACCAUUUCUCACCAGCUCCACCGCUACCUCCAAAUAAAAGAAAUGGCUGAAAUCCUUUGGAACCAAUAUGACCAACUGGAGUCGGUGCAGAAGGAGCUUGCUGACAACGCAGCCUGAAUUUCCACCCUAUGUUUCAUACCAACUCCCCCUGAAUUUGCACAUGUGAUACAUGAGAUAGCAUGAAGAGAUAACUGAGCAUGCCCAAGGACUUUCCAGACUUCUGCUUUCCUUCCACCAAUCACCUGCUAAUCUCAGAAUCCACCCCCUGAAACUUUUCUAAUAAAAA